rnacentral:rRNA from 1 species
UGAUCAUGGCUCAGAUUGAACGCUGGCGGCAGGCCUAACACAUGCAAGUCGAACGGUAACAGGAAGAAGCUUGCUUCUUUGCUGACGAGUGGCGGACGGGUGAGUAAUGUCUGGGAAACUGCCUGAUGGAGGGGGAUAACUACUGGAAACGGUAGCUAAUACCGCAUAACGUCGCAAGACCAAAGAGGGGAACCUUCGGGCCUCUUGCCAUCGGAUGUGCCCAGAUGGGAUUAGCUAGUAGGUGGGGUAACGGCUCACCUAGGCGACGAUCCCUAGCUGGUCUGAGAGGAUGACCAGCCACACUGGAACUGAGACACGGUCCAGACUCCUACGGGAGGCAGCAGUGGGGAAUAUUGCACAAUGGGCGCAAGCCUGAUGCAGCCAUGCCGCGUGUAUGAAGAAGGCCUUCGGGUUGUAAAGUACUUUCAGCGGGGAGGAAGGGAGUAAAGUUAAUACCUUUGCUCAUUGACGUUACCCGCAGAAGAAGCACCGGCUAACUCCGUGCCAGCAGCCGCGGUAAUACGGAGGGUGCAAGCGUUAAUCGGAAUUACUGGGCGUAAAGCGCACGCAGGCGGUUUGUUAAGUCAGAUGUGAAAUC